CAGAAAGCCCAAGAUUACAGCAACAGGCUUUUGAGAUGACUCUCACCUCAGUAAAAAUGACAUCCUUUACACAGAUGACUUUCCUGUCUACCCUACCAGCCACCUCUCUUCUGAACUCUUGCACACAAAACCACUCUUGGGUUUUCUCCUGGAUACCCCAAAGAUUCAUAAUCCAACUUGUUACCUUGCUUUACAUUUUAUUACCCCCUCACAGCAGAGGGGUAGAAAAUAUAUCAAUAAAUGAUACUCUCAUCAUGAGCUAAAAAACAGAAUUAUCCUGAACUUUUUUUUUUUGGUACCAGGGAUUGAACUCGGGUCCUUGCGCUUGCGCAGCAGGUGGCAAAACCACUGAGCUAAAUCCCCGGCCCAAUCCUGAACUUUUUUUUUCAAUCUCUCAUUCCCCAAACAUCUAAUCAGGAACUAAAUUUUGUAGAUUUGUUACAUCAAAAUGGUGCUAGCAAAGCCUAGCCGAGAAACUUGCUGUGAGGAGCUAAAGAUCUCAGUCCCAUCCCACAUUUUCACUCCCUCCACACAAGGGAGUCUGUUUUUCUUAAGGUUUAUGGUUUUUUGCUUUUUUCAUGUGUGGGGGAAGGCUGAAGAAAAAGAGAGAAGAUAUAGGCCCCCAGGAUUCAAGGAGGAUUGUGAAGUAGGUGGAAAUGGUGAGCAGUA
rnacentral:lncRNA from 1 species